CAGAGUGUCUGUCUGCCUGGUUACUCUCCUUCAUCAUUGUGGCUUCUGACCUUAGCUCAUAAUUCCUUAGGAUGCCUUCAGAUUAAUCUUUCAAUCCCCUGUUGUGGCAUCUGACCAUGGCUAUUGUUAUCUGACUACACUUAUGGAUCACCCUUUCAACCUACUACUGACUUCAGCUUUCCAGCCCUGACUAUGCUCUUGGAUAAUUCUUAGUUGCCAUAAUGGACUUGCUUCUCCGCUUAGCCUUCAGAACAGUUAUUGCAGUAACCUCUCACUUAUCCAGUCACUUCUUUCUCCUCAAACCAAGGAAUCAUAUUGUUCCAGUUCUAUUUUUGGCUCUUCACCAGUAACUACUCUUUCUGAAACAAAAGUCUCUACUCCAGAACUUUGGAUAUACUCUGUUAUACCUGCAUAUGACCUGCUCUCUACCUUAAACUGGUAUAGCGGCAAAAUAACUCCAUAUAACAAAACAGUGUGUUUGUUAAUCUGCUCAUAAUAAAUAGUCAGCUACUGUAUAUACUGAGUUGUUAAACAGGUAAUGCUGUGUAUAUAUAUAUAUAUAUAUAUAUAU